GGAAAGGCUUUAUACUUUAUCCGCUGAACAGCACCGUCAACCAAGACUUGAGAAACCAGGGGCUUCUCGAGAUUUUUGAACACAGAAAGACGAGUAAAGUGUCCCCUGGUUCUAUUUUCCGUCUGGAAAUCCAACUUUACAACCUUCCCAAUAUGUCCCCCAAUAGCCUUAACGAUUUACUGACGCAACAUAAACCCUGAGAGGCCCG
rnacentral:lncRNA from 1 species